rnacentral:sRNA from 1 species
ACAUCAGUCUUUCCACAGAAUACAACUCUGACCACAGGCCCUUAUUCCUAGCAUUCUCUCAGAAAUUGCAAAUUGAUGGACUUCACAUAGAGGGAGAAAGAAAAGCUAUUGCUUUUCCUGAGCUGUAGUUUGUUUAAAGACUAGAUCACUACAGGUCUUAUUUCAAAGCAGAGCAAACUAAAGUGAAAUUCUAAAAUCAGUUUUAAUCUUGAAAACAACCCUUUUAAUCUAUUCCUAUCAUAUUGCUACAUUCCCCAUAGCUGCCAUUCUCUGCAUCCAAUGGAGCAUGAAUUUUAUGAGGACAAUGAGUAUAUUUCCAGCUUGCCUGCUGAUGCAGACAGAACAGAAGACUUUGAAUAUGAGGAGGUCGAGUUGUGUCGUGUUAGCAGUCAAGAGAAGCUGGGCCUGACAGUCUGUUACCGAACAGAUGAUGAAGAAGACACCGGCAUUUAUGUCAGCGAGGUUGACCCAAAUAGCAUUGCUGCCAAAGAUGGCCGGAUUCGACAAGGGGAUCGGAUUUUGCAAAUAAAUGGGGAAGAUGUCCAGAAUCGAGAAGAAGCAGUGGCCUUGCUGUCUAACGAUGAGUGUAAGAGAAUCGUGCUGCUUGUUGCAAGGCCAGAGAUUCAGCUGGAUGAAGGCUGGCUGGAAGAUGAAAGGAAUGAAUUCUUAGAGGAGUUAAACUUGGAGAUGUUGGAAGAAGAGCAUAAUGAAGCAAUGCAGCCCACUGCCAAUGAGGUGGAGCAGCCAAAAAAGCAAGAAGAAGAAGAAGGCACAACAGACACUGCAACAUCCUCAUCCAACAACCAUGAGAAGGACAGUGGAGUAGGACGUACCGAUGAAAGCUUGCGAAAUGAUGAGAGCUCAGAGCAGGAGAAUGCAGCUGAGGACCCCAAUAGCACAUCUUUGAAGAGCAAGAGAGACCUGGGGCAGAGCCAAGACACUCUAGGAAGUGUUGAACUUCAGUACAAUGAGAGUCUCGUGUCUGGUGAAUACAUUGACUCAGACUGCAUUGGCAACCAAGAUGAGGACUGUGAAAGAUUCAGGCAGCUCUUGGAGCUCAAAUGCAAGAUUCGAAAUCAUGGAGAGUAUGACCUGUAUUACUCAAGCAGCACAAUUGAAUGCAAUCAAGGGGAGCAAGAGGGAGUGGAGCAUGAGCUACAGUUGCUUAAUGAAGAGCUGAGAAACAUUGAGCUUGAGUGUCAGAAUAUCAUGCAGGCUCACAGGCUCCGGAAAGUGACAGACCAGUAUGGAGACAUCUGGACAUUGCAUGAUGGAGGAUUCCGGAAUUAUAACACCAGCAUAGAUAUGCAAAGGGGAAAGCUAGAUGACAUCAUGGAGCAUCCAGAAAAGUCUGACAAGGACAGUUCUAGUGCUUACAACACAGCUGAGAGCUGCAGAAGUACUCCGCUCACUGUAGACCGUUCCCCUGACAGUUCUCUUCCAAGGAUGAUCAAUCUCACCAAUAAGAAAAACCUGAGAAGCACAAUGGCAGCCACCCAGUCCUCUUCUGGACAAAGCAGUAAAGAGUUGACCUCCACCAAAGCCAAAACCACUGAGCAAGGUUGUAGCGCUGAAAGCAAGGAGAAGAUUUUAGAAGGCAGCAAGCUUCCUGAUCAAGAGAAGGCAGUCAGUGAACACAUCCCUUACCUCUCUCCUUACCACAGCUCCUCAUAUAGAUAUGCAAACAUCCCAGCACAUGCCCGGCAUUAUCAAAGCUAUAUGCAGUUAAUUCAACAGAAAUCUGCAGUCGAGUAUGCUCAGAGUCAGCUCAGCUUGGUGAGCAUGUGCAAGGAGUCUCAGAAGUGUUCAGAGCCCAAGAUGGAAUGGAAGGUGAAAAUUAGGAGCGACGGGACACGGUACAUCACAAAGAGACCCGUGCGAGACCGCAUCCUGAAGGAACGUGCCUUAAAGAUCAAGGAAGAGCGGAGUGGCAUGACCACAGACGAUGACACCAUGAGCGAGAUGAAAAUGGGGCGCUACUGGAGCAAAGAGGAGAGAAAGCAGCACCUGGUUAGGGCCAAAGAGCAGCGCCGUCGCCGUGAGUUCAUGAUGCGAAGCCGGUUAGAGUGUCUCAAGGAGAGCCCUCAGAGCGGCAGUGAGGGCAAGAAGGAGAUCAAUAUCAUUGAACUGAGUCACAAAAAGAUGAUGAAAAAGAGAAACAAGAAAAUUUUGGACAACUGGAUGACAAUACAAGAGCUGAUGACCCAUGGGGCCAAGUCUCCCGAUGGCACGAGAGUCCAUAAUGCCUUCUUGUCGGUGACCACAGUAUGACCGAAUGAAUGGAAUGCAUGCGACUGAUUUUAAGAGGAUGCUACCAGUUUCGGUAGAGUAUGAUUGCCUCGUUCAAUGUGGCGUUUUUAUAUAUAUUUUGUGACUCUUUAUAGUUUAAAUUUUUUGUAAGCAAAAAAUACCUGGUAAUUUUUCAUUUGUUUUUCAUAUACUGGUACCUUCUUUUUGGCUGAGAUCUUUCUUUUACUUGUGAUAUAUUCAUAUUACUGGUUUAUAAAAAAAAUAAAAAACAAAAGGAAAGAAAACAAAAAAACUUGCACAAAAAUACUGAGGAGCCAAUUAAUUUCCUUCUUCAAUGUAUCUAAUGUAAGUGAAAAUCUGGAUUUAUUUCUCUAGUUUACUUAUUUUCUACUUUAAUAAUAACUCAAUGCCAAAACAUUUCUAUGCUUGUUUCUUGGCAUAAUACAUUUUAAAUCAAACCUGUUCAUAAUAAAUCAUGUGCCACAUCUUGUCUUACACGUAAAAGCCACUGCUUUUAACAUCCCAUUGUACACUUAACACAUAAAUGGUGUUAACAUCCCAUUGUACAUUUAACACAUAAAUGGCCAUUGUCUUUGUCUCAGUAAAGUGUAGGUGGACAAUCUUCCUGUGAUAUGUAGUGACAUUGGUCAUGUAGCUAGAUAAUUAUGGUAAUUGUGACAAUUAAAGAGAAAUAAAUUAUUGAUUAUCCUUCAGAAAAGUUA